GGAACAAAGCGUCAUAGAGGGUGAGAAUCCCGUUUUUGACACGGACUACCAGUGCUUUGUGAUGCGCUCUCAAAGAGUCGAGUUGUUUGGGAAUGCAGCUCAAAAUGGGUGGUGAAUUCCAUCUAAAGCUAAAUAUUGGCGAGAGACCGAUAGCGAACAAGUACCGUGAGGGAAAGAUGAAAAGCACUUUGGAAAGAGAGUUAAACAGUACGUGAAAUUGCUGAAAGGGAAACGCUUGAAGUCAGUCGCGUCGUCCGGAACUCAGCCUUGCUUUUGCUUGGUGCACUUUCCGGAUGACGGGUCAGCAUCGAUUUCGACCGUCGGAAAAGGGCUGGAGUAAUGUGGCACCUCCGGGUGUGUUAUAGACUCUGGUCGCAUACGGCGGUUGGGAUCGAGGAACGCAGCGCGCCGCAAGGCAGGGGUUCGCCCACUUUCGCGCUUAGGAUGCUGGCAUAAUGGCUUUAAACGACCCGUCUUGAAACACGGACCAAGGAGUCUAACAUACCUGCAAGUGUUUGGGUGGAAAACCCGAGCGCGUAAUGAAAGUGAAAGUUGAGAUCCCUGUCGUGGGGAGCAUCGACGCCCGGACCAGACGUUCUCUGACGGAUCCGCGGUAGAGCAUGUAUGUUGGGACCCGAAAGAUGGUGAACUAUGCCUGAAUAGGGUGAAGCCAGAGGAAACUCUGGUGGAGGCUCGUAGCGAUUCUGACGUGCAAAUCGAUCGUCAAAUUU
rnacentral:rRNA from 1 species